AGUGAACGCUGGCGGUAGGCCUAACACAUGCAAGUCGAACGGCAGCACAGUAAGAGCUUGCUCUUACGGGUGGCGAGUGGCGGACGGGUGAGGAAUACAUCGGAAUCUACUUUUUCGUGGGGGAUAACGUAGGGAAACUUACGCUAAUACCGCAUACGACCUACGGUUGAAAGCAGGGGAUCUUCGGACCUUGCGCGAUUGAAUGAGCCGAUGUCGGAUUAGCUAGUUGGCGGGGUAAAGGCCCACCAAGGCGACGAUCCGUAGCUGGUCUGAGAGGAUGGUCAGCCACACUGGAACUGAGACACGGUCCAGAGUCCUACGGGAGGCAGCAGUGGGGAAUAUUGGGCAAUGGGCGCAAGCCUGAUCCAGCCAUACCGCGUGGGUGAAGAAGGCCUUCGGGUUGUAAAGCCCUUUUGUUGGGAAAGAAAAGCAGCAGGUUAAUACCCCGCUGUUCUGACGGUACCCAAAGAAUAAGCAACGGCUAACUUCGUG
rnacentral:rRNA from 1 species